rnacentral:rRNA from 1 species
AGUGAACGCUGGCGGUAGGCCUAACACAUGCAAGUCGAACGGCAGCACAGUAAGAGCUUGCUCUUACGGGUGGCGAGUGGCGGACGGGUGAGGAAUACAUCGGAAUCUACUUUUUCGUGGGGGAUAACGUAGGGAAACUUACGCUAAUACCGCAUACGACCUACGGGUGAAAGCAGGGGAUCUUCGGACCUUGCGCGAUUGAAUGAGCCGAUGUCGGAUUAGCUAGUUGGCGGGGUAAAGGCCCACCAAGGCGACGAUCCGUAGCUGGUCUGAGAGGAUGAUCAGCCACACUGGAAAUGAGACACGGUCCAGACUCCAAGGGGAGGCAGCAGGGGGGAAUAUUGGACAAUGGGCGCAAGCCUGAUCCAGCAAACCCGCGUGGGUGAAGAAGGCCUUCGGGUUGUAAAGCCCUUUUGUUGGGAAGAAAAGCAGCAGGUUAAUACCCCGCUGUUCUGACGGUACCCAAAGAAUAAGCACCGGCUAACUUCGUG